rnacentral:rRNA from 1 species
AUUGAACGCUGGCGGCAGGCCUAACACAUGCAAGUCGAACGAGUGGCGGACGGGUGAGUAAUGUCUGGGAAAAUGCCUGAGGGAGGGGGAUAACUACUGGAAACGGUAGCUAAUAACACAUACCAUCGGCUGAGCCCAGAUGGGAUUAGCUAGUAGGUGGGGUAAAGGCUAACCUAGGCGACGAUCCCUAGCUGGUCUGAGAGGAUGACCAGCCACACUGGAACUGAGACACGGUCCAGACUCCUACGGGAGGCAGCAGUGGGGAAUAUUGCACAAUGGGCGCAAGCCUGAUGCAGCCAUGCCGCGUGUAUGAAGAAGGCCUUCGGGUUGUAAAGUACUUUCAGCGGGGAGGCGUUACCCGCAGAAGAAGCACCGGCUAACUCCGUGCCAGCAGCCGCGGUAAUAC